ACUGCGCAUGCGGACCCGGCCGCGGGGCGGGGCCGCGCGAGGAGGAGGGUCGGGGACGGAAGCGCAGAGCACGGACCCCGCCCCCUCGCGGCCCGGCUCGUGACGUCGCGGGGGGCGCCGGCCUCCGCCCGGCCCCGAGGGCAGGCUCUCCCCGGAGGCUCAGCCCCCUCUGCUCCCCAUGGGCAACUGCCAGGCAGGGCACAACCUGCACCUGUGUCUGGCCCACCACCCACCUCUGGUCUGUGCCACUUUGAUCCUGCUGCUCCUUGGCCUCUCUGGCCUGGGCCUUGGCAGCUUCCUCCUCACCCACAGGACUGGCCUGCGCAGCCCUGACAUCCCCCAGGACUGGGUCUCUUUUUUGAGAUCUUUUGGCCAGCUGACCCUGUGUCCCAGGAAUGGGACAGUCACAGGGAAGUGGCGAGGGUCUCACGUCGUGGGCUUGCUGACCACCUUGAACUUCGGAGAGGGUCCAGACAGGAACAAGACCCGGACAUUCCAGGCCACAGUCCUGGGAAGUCAGAUGGGAUUGAAAGGAUCUUCUGCAGGACAACUGGUCCUUAUCACAGCCAGGGUGACCACAGAAAGGACUGCAGGAACCUGCCUAUAUUUUAGUGCUGUUCCAGGAAUCCUACCCUCCAGCCAGCCACCCAUAUCCUGCUCAGAGGAGGGGGCUGGAAAUGCCACCCUGAGCCCUAGAAUGGGUGAGGAAUGUGUUAGUGUCUGGAGCCAUGAAGGCCUUGUGCUGACCAAGCUGCUCACCUCGGAGGAGCUGGCUCUGUGUGGCUCCAGGCUGCUGGUCUUGGGCUCCUUCCUGCUUCUCUUCUGUGGCCUUCUCUGCUGUGUCACUGCUAUGUGCUUCCACCCGCGCCGGGAGUCCCACUGGUCUAGAACCCGGCUCUGAGGGCACUGGCCUAGUUCCCGACUUGUUUCUCAGACAGAAUCAUACACAUUCUUUUGUGGCUGACUUCUUUCAAGCAACAUUGUGAUUUUAAGACUCAUAACUAGUUCACGUCCAAGCAUUUGGGUAACAAUGGUGUGAAUCAACUUCUUGGGCUUUGGCUCUGAGUUGGAAAAGGUUUUAGAAAAAGCGAAGAGCGGAAUGUGGGGGAAAAUAAAAAGCUUUUUUGCCCA